rnacentral:rRNA from 1 species
CAGUCGAGCGGAUGAAGGGGGCUUGCUCCUGGAUUCAGCGGCGGACGGGUGAGUAAUGCCUAGGAAUCUGCCUGGUAGUGGGGGAUAACGUCCGGAAACGGGCGCUAAUACCGCAUACGUCCUGAGGGAGAAAGUGGGGGAUCUUCGGACCUCACGCUAUCAGAUGAGCCUAGGUCGGAUUAGCUAGUUGGUGGGGUAAAGGCCUACCAAGGCGACGAUCCGUAACUGGUCUGAGAGGAUGAUCAGUCACACUGGAACUGAGACACGGUCCAGACUCCUACGGGAGGCAGCAGUGGGGAAUAUUGGACAAUGGGCGAAAGCCUGAUCCAGCCAUGCCGCGUGUGUGAAGAAGGUCUUCGGAUUGUAAAGCACUUUAAGUUGGGAGGAAGGGCAGUAAGUUAAUACCUUGCUGUUUUGACGUUACCAACAGAAUAAGCACCGGCUAACUUCGUGCCAGCAGCCGCGGUAAUACGAAGGGUGCAAGCGUUAAUCGGAAUUACUGGGCGUAAAGCGCGCGUAGGUGGUUCAGCAAGUUGGAUGUGAAAUCCCCGGGCUCAACCUGGGAACUGCAUCCAAAACUACUGAGCUAGAGUACGGUAGAGGGUGGUGGAAUUUCCUGUGUAGCGGUGAAAUGCGUAGAUAUAGGAAGGAACACCAGUGGCGAAGGCGACCACCUGGACUGAUACUGACACUGAGGUGCGAAA